GCGCCGUUAGUUUAAGGGUAGAAUUGAAGCUUCCCACUUCGAAGUCUGCUUCAGGACCGAGUUCGAGUCUCGGACGGCGCA